AGUGGCGAACUGGUGAGUAACACGUGGGUAACCUGCCCAGAAGAAGGGGAUAACACCUGGAAACAGAUGCUAAUACCGUAUAACAACAAAAACCGCAUGGCUUUUGUUUGAAAGGUGGCUUCGGCUAUCACUUCUGGAUGGUUCCGCGGCGCAUUAGCUAGUUGGUGAGAUAAUAGCUCACCAAGGCGAUGAUACGUAGCAGACCUGAGAGGGUAAUCCGCCACAAUGGGACUGAGACACGGCCCAUACUCC
rnacentral:rRNA from 1 species